rnacentral:rRNA from 1 species
AGUCGAACGAAGCUUGACGGAUGAUUUCUUCGGAAUGAAACCAGAUAUGACUUAGUGGCGGACGGGUGAGUAACACGUGAGCAACCUGCCUUUCAGAGGGGGAUAACGGCUGGAAACGGUCGCUAAUACCGCAUGAUGUGUUCGGAUGGCAUCAUUUGAACAUCAAAGAUUUAUCGCUGAAAGAUGGGCUCGCGUCUGAUUAGAUAGUUGGUGGGGUAACGGCCUACCAAGUCUACGAUCAGUAGCCGGACUGAGAGGUUGAACGGCCACAUUGGGACUGAGAUACGGCCCAGACUCCUACGGGAGGCAGCAGUGGGGAAUAUUGCACAAUGGGGGAAACCCUGAUGCAGCAACGCCGCGUGAAGGAUGACGGUUUUCGGAUUGUAAACUUCUUUUCUUAGUGACGAAGACAGUGACGGUAGCUAAGGAAUAAGCAUCGGCUAACUACGUGCCAGCAGCCGCGGUAAUACGUAGGAUGCAAGCGUUAUCCGGAUUUACUGGGUGUAAAGGGAGCGCAGGCGGGACUGCAAGUUGGAUGUGAAAUACCGUGGCUUAACCACGGAACUGCAUCCAAAACUGUAGUUCUUGAGUGAAGUAGAGGCAAGCGGAAUUCCGAGUGUAGCGGUGAAAUGCGUAGAUAUUCGGAGGAACACCAGUGGCGAAGGCGGCUUGCUGGGCUUUAACUGACGCUGAGGCUCGAAAGUGUGGGGAGCAAACAGGAUUAGAUACCCUGGUAGUCCACACUGUAAACGAUGAUAGCUAGGUGUGGGGGGUCUGACCCCUUCCGUGCCGGAGUUAACGCAAUAAGCUAUCCACCUGGGGAGUACGACC